rnacentral:rRNA from 1 species
CCUACGGGGGGCAGCAGUGAGGAAUAUUGGUCAAUGGCCGUAAGGCUGAACCAGCCAAGUCGCGUGCAGGAUGAAGGACCUCUGGUUUGUAAACUUCUUUUAUAGGGGAAUAAAGGUAUCCACGUGUGGAUAUUUGCAUGUACCCUAUGAAUAAGCAUCGGCUAACUCCGGGCCAGCAGCCGCGGUAAUACGGAGGAUGCGAGCGUUAUCCGGAUUUAUUGGGUUUAAAGGGUGCGUAGGGUGGUUUUUAAGUGAGCGGUGAAAGUUUGUGGCUCAACCAUAAAAUUGCCGUUGAAACUGGAAGACUUGAGUGUGUUUGAGGUAGGCGGAAUGCGUGGUGUAGCGGUGAAAUGCAUAGAUAUCACGCAGAACUCCGAUUGCGAAGGCAGCUUACUGGGCCAAAACUGACGCUGAGGCACGAAAGCGUGGGGAUCAAACAGGAUUAGAUACCCCGGUAGUC